rnacentral:rRNA from 1 species
UACGGGUGGUGCUAGUGUUAUUCCACGUGACUAGGCGUAAAGGGUGAGUAGAUUGAAAAAAUAGUUUUAAAUAAACGGGAACUUGUUUUUUUACUUUUUUUCUUGAGUUUAAUAGACAAUAAUGGAACUUCCUGCAUUAGGGUUAAAAUACAUUUAAACUGGAAGGAACACCAAGGGCAGAGGCGACUUCCUGGACCAAUACUGACGCUCAUGUGCGAAAGCGUGGGGAGCAAACAGG